AGUCGAGGGGUAACGGAAGUAGCUUGCUACUAGACGACGACCGGCGCACGGGUGAGUAACGCGUAUGUAAUCUGCCUUGUACAGAGGGAUAGCCCAGAGAAAUUUGGAUUAAUACCUCAUAGUAUUACUGAAUCGCAUGAUUUGGUAAUUAAAGCUCCGGCGGUACAAGAUGAACAUGCGUGACAUUAGCUAGUUGGUAAGGUAACGGCUUACCAAGGCUACGAUGUCUAGGGGUUCUGAGAGGAUGAUCCCCCACACUGGUACUGAGACACGGACCAGACUCCUACGGGAGGCAGCAGUGAGGAAUAUUGGUCAAUGGACGCAAGUCUGAACCAGCCAUCCCGCGUGAAGGAUGACUGCCCUAUGGGUUGUAAACUUCUUUUAUAUGCAAAUAAACCUACUUUCGUGAAAGUAGCUGAAGGUAGCAUAUGAAUAAACACCGGCUAACUCCGUGCCAGCAGCCGCGGUAAUACGGAGGGUGUAAGCGUUAUCCGGAUUUAUUGGGUUUAAAGGGUACG
rnacentral:rRNA from 1 species